GCCUCCAGAGGCGCCGAGGCUGAGCUAGAAUCUCGGUUCUCCAAGGACCCGGACGGCCCGGAACCCAGGGUGCGGCAGGAAAAGCGGUUGGGAGUGACACAUCGCGGGCCAGGGGAGCCGUCUGACCACAGCCGCUCAGAGGAUGUGAGACAUGAGGGCACUGCAAUAGCCCUGCGCCUGCAACAGGGGGACGAGCACGCAGGUGGGAAGCGGCUAAAGGACCCGUCCCAGAGCCCUCGGGCUGCUGCUUCAUCCUGAAGACUUGGAAGGUGGCGGCGGUCGCCCCCCUGGGUAUUGCCAGAGGCUUUUUGGCUCCGAGGGCUCCACAGCUUCCCAACCCGGAUCCUGAGGCCUCCAAGCCACCCUCGACACCUGCCCCAGGUCGCAUGCUCCACGCUCUGCGCUUCUGAGCUUCUGAAAUGUUUCUAAAAACCAAACAAAACCAGACACUGGCAUUGCCUCCUUGAUGCCAUCCUGAUGUGUCAGUUCACUCCUCCUGCAGGUGCCAAAGUUUCAGUCACAGGUGCCUACCCUCCUCCGCCACGUCUCCCCCUCACCUCCAGAUUCCCAUCAUGCUGUCAGCCUCCAAGUCCUGUCCCAGGGACCCUCCUCCGCAGGUCUGACUGCUCUGGAUGCUUCGUAUCAAUGGGAUCAUAAAAGGUACAACCUGCGGCCACACGUCAGCAGCAUGUUUCCCAGGCUCCUUGUGCUCUGGCACGUACCGGUGUGUCCUUCCUUCUCAGGACUGAACAGUGCUCCAUCGUGCCCACCCACUUGGCCCUUUCUGAGCUUCGGGCCCACAGGCUGCUGGGUCGUCCAAAUUAGGGAGUGUCCAGAGGGACCCUGUAGGAGCUGGGCGGGCAGGGAGUGUCUGACCAUGAGCGUCAGGGCAUUGGAUGUCUGAUCGUUUUCCUGUGCAGCCACUGACUACUCUGGAGGAGUGUGAUCUAUCCAGAGAAAGGGGAACUGGUACCCAGUUCUCAGGACCAACAUUAUGGGGAUGGCCAAUACUCAGCAGGAGAACGAAUGGACCAGAACCUGUCCAUGCUCAGCCCCAAAUAAAGGACAAAAUUGUACCCUUAGUUUGUCUAUGUAGGAAAAACAGGCUUCCCUCGUAGCUCAGUCGGUAAAGAAUCUGUCUGCAAUGCCGGAGACCUGGGUUCAAUUCCUGGGUCUGGAUGAUCCCCUGGAGAAGGAAAUGGCAACCCACUCCAGUACUCUUGGUUGAAGAAUCCUGUGGACAGAGGAGCCUGUCAGGCUACAAUCCUUGGAGUUGCAAGAGUCAGACAUGAGUUAGUGACUAAACCACCAUGUAGGAAAAACAGCAGAGCAAAAUCUUCCUAAAAUACAGACACUAGAGAGAGAAAACCAAUGUGGAGGCCCUUCUAGAUCAGAUGGUGGUCUCCACGAGGGAUUCCUGCAUCUCAUACCUGUCGGUUGGUGCGUCUCUAGCUGCACGAGAGGAGGGGGAUGGAGAAUGUGUUUGCCUCCCUGGAGGCAACAACACACACCCAGGCUGCACACCCUUCCUGGUCACCUGCCCCGGGAGCCCCUUGCCGGGACCACAUGCCUCAGCUCUGGGGUUUUCACCCACUCCCUGAAAGCCCCGUGAGGUUCCUGGGUCUUAGAGAGGUGAGUGCCAGCCCAGACCAGCCCCCGUCGUGAGGAACAGGCGGCACCUUCUUGCAGAGAAUGAAUCUCCAUCUGUUGCACCUCCAACCAGCCUCUCCCUCUCAGCCAGCCUUGGACACCCAGCAGGCGGCCGUCGUGGGGGCACCCGCUGCCCAUGGAGGGGGAGCUGCAUUUGAAGUUGCCCUGGAGCCAGAUGAAUGAGCUUUUCAUGGUCCCCCCCCUCCACCCACGCUGGACUCAGCCAGAAUGUCAAAUGGUAAUUAGCAGCAGACCCGGCUCUGUCCCGGGCGAUAUUAUCAUCAGACUUCUUGGGUUUCAAAGUGAGCAGCCGACAUGAAACGGUAGGCGGACUGGCCUCCAAGACGGGCCUGGUGGGGCCCGAGAAGUCUUGGAACCAGGACAGGGAGGAAGUCCCCCCACCUGUGGAGCAGGCCUGAGGGUCUGUAUGGAUGACAGUGGCCAGUGUGAUGCCCUUGGGCCCUCACUGCCCGCAUUCCUGGGGCCCUGCACACUGUGCCCCCCACCUCGGCCUUUGGCCCUGAGGUCACAGAGAUCAGCCACCAUGGCCUCUCAGGCUGGCCAGUGAGCGCGACUCCCUGGGUACGCUCUCUGAUCCUAGCCUUCUUGAAGGUGGUGGGGGACAGGCUGGUGUCCACACAGACAGGGGCUGUGACCAGAAAGGGGAGAAGACUCUGCAGGAGAGAGAGGGGGUGGAGAGAGGAGGGUCUGGCCUACCAUGAGGUGAAGCCUCCUCUUUCCUUCUAGAAUCUUCUCUGUACCAGGAAAGGGCUUUGCAUCUUAGAAUGGAACAAACUUCCCUGGUGCUCAGAGACAGCAACAAACUCCACGCCCUCAAUGGGCCUGGAGCAGCAGGACCUCAGGAGCCCCCUGUGCUGUGAGCCAGUGGCUAGGGCCUCGGGGGGCAGGCACAUCCUCUCACUCCAAUACCAAGCUGCCUCUCUGUUCCCCAGGCUGACACUUCUGGGAGUUUGUGCGAAGGACAGAAUGAGAUGGUCACCAUGGCCUUCCUUAUCAUCCAAGGAGAAAAGGGAGACUUAAACCCUAAGUGUCCAUCAACUGUAUUUGCCAAAUAAAAUCUGAUGCAAUUAUUAGCCUUCA